AACGAACGCUGGCGGCAGGCCUAACACAUGCAAGUCGAGCGCCCUUUCGGGGGCGCGGCGGACGGGUGAGUACCGCGUGGGAAUAUGCCCUUCUCUACGGAAUAGCCUCGGGAGACUGAGAGUAAUACCGUAUACGCCCUAUGGGGGAAAGAUUUAUCGGGGAAGGAUUAGCCCGCGUUGGAUUAGGUAGUUGGUGGGGUAAUGGCCUACCAAGCCGACGAUCCAUAGCUGGUUUGAGAGGAUGAUCAGCCACACUGGGACUGAGACACGGCCCAGACUCCUACGGGAGGCAGCAGUGGGGAAUCUUAGACAAUGGGGGCAAGCCUGAUCUAGCCAUGCCGCGUGAGUGAUGAAGGCCUUAGGGUUGUAAAGCUCUUUCAGCUGGGAAGAUAAUGACGGUACCAGCAGAAGAAGCCCCGGCUAACUCCGUG
rnacentral:rRNA from 1 species